AUUGAACGCUGGCGGAAUGCUUUACACAUGCAAGUCGAGCGGCAGCGCGGGGCAACCUGGCGGCGAGCGGCGAACGGGUGAGUAAUACAUCGGAACGUACCCAGUUGUGGGGGAUAGCCCGGCGAAAGCCGGAUUAAUACCGCAUACGACCUGAGGGUGAAAGCGGGGGAUCGCAAGACCUCGCGCAAUUGGAGCGGCCGAUGGCGGAUUAGCUAGUUGGUAGGGUAAAGGCCUACCAAGGCGACGAUCCGUAGCGGGUCUGAGAGGACGGCCCGCCACACUGGAACUGAGACACGGUCCAGACUCCUACGGGAGGCAGCAGUGGGGAAUUUUGGACAAUGGGGGAAACCCUGAUCCAGCCAUUCCGCGUGAGUGAAGAAGGCCUUCGGGUUGUAAAGCUCUUUCGGCAGGAACGAAACGGUGGGUCCUAAUACGAUCUGCUAAUGACGGUACCUGAAGAAGAAGCACCGGCUAACUACGUGCCAGCAGCCGCGGUAA
rnacentral:rRNA from 1 species